GCUCGGGUGGUGGAAUGGCAGACACACCAGAUUUAGGUUCUGGCGCCGCAAGGUGUGCGGGUUCGACCCCCGCCCCGAGCACC
rnacentral:tRNA from 1 species